CCCCAGCUCGCCUGGCACGGCAGUCGUGUGUUGAAGGCCGGUGAACGGGGACGUACACACUACUCGUGGAGAAAGUCCAUGCUUAUUUCUCGGCAGGUGUUGCAAACACGACACUGCAAUAAUGCCAGUAUUCCAUACAAAGACAAUUGAGGGUAUCCUCGAGCCCGUUGCUCAGCAGGUUUCUCGUCUGGUGAUCCUGCACGAGGAAGCGGAAGAUGGCAACGCGAUGCCAGACUUGGAGAAGCCGGUCAUGGCUGUCUCCAAAGCCGUCGUCAACCUCGUCAAAGUGAGAAGAAAGACA